rnacentral:tRNA from 1 species
GGGGAUAUAGCUAAUGAUGAGCACUUGCCUAAAAUAUAUGAGACCCUGAGUUCAAUCCUCAGUAUUGCCA